GAAUAUCUUUCAACGGACUUAUUCUAAAAUAUAGAGCUUAAUAAAAUCUAGUUCUCAAGGACUUCUUUUCUAUGGAGAUGAUCUGGGAUUGAACCAUUGUUACUUAUCCCUUCUUGGUAGCCAAAUCAAUGUCUAGUUGGAGAUUGACAACUAUGCUAGCCAAAACGCUUAGCUUAGCAAUGAGCAGCGUGAGGAAGUUUGCACUUUCCAGGGAGCUGCAUGGCAAGGUUUGGAUCAAUUCCAAGUGAAGGCAACAGGU